CAACUACUCCCUUUGUCCCAAAUUUCUUGUCUUAGAUUUGUCUAGAUGCGGAUGUAUCUGUGACUUGAUACAUACGUAUCUAGACAAAUCUAAGACAAGAAUUUUGGGACGGAGGGAUUUCUUU
rfam:Triticum aestivum genome assembly, contig: Triticum_aestivum_CS42_TGACv1_scaffold_158306_2DL